UUCUUAUCAAGAGCGACCGAGGGACAGGCCCUGUGACGUCGCGGCAACCUCCCGCAAGGGAAGGUGCCAAUUCCUGCGGAACCGACAGGUUCCGGGAGAUAAGGG
rnacentral:ncRNA from 2 species